GGGCGCGUAGCUCAGUGGUAGAGCACACCCUUCACACGGGUGGGGUCGUAGGUUCAAACCCUACCGCGCCCACCA
rnacentral:tRNA from 1 species